CCUACGGGUGGCAGCAGUGGGGAAUAUUGGGCAAUGGGCGCAAGCCUGACCCAGCAACGCCGCGUGAAGGAAGAAGGCUUUCGGGUUGUAAACUUCUUUUCUCAGGGACGAAGAAAGUGACGGUACCUGAGGAAUAAGCCACGGCUAACUACGUGCCAGCAGCCGCGGUAAUCCGUAGGUGGCAAGCGUUAUCCGGAUUUAUUGGGUGUAAAGGGCGGGUACGCGGGAGCGCAAGUCAGAUGUGAAAACUCAGGGCUCAACCCUGAGCCUGCAUUUGAAACUGUGUUUCUUGAGUGCUGGAGAGGCAAUCGGAAUUCCGUGUGUAGCGGUGAAAUGCGUAGAUAUACGGAGGAACACCAGUGGCGAAGGCGGAUUGCUGGACAGUAACUGACGCUGAGGCGCGAAAGCGUGGGGAGCAAACAGGAUUAGAUACCCGAGUAGUC
rnacentral:rRNA from 1 species